rnacentral:rRNA from 1 species
GUUUGAUCCUGGCUCAGAACGUACGCUGGCGGCACGCCUAACACAUGCAAGUCGAACGAAGUAGCAAUACUUAGUGGCAGACGGGUGAGUAACAUGUAGGUAUCUGCCCUUUGGCCUGGAAUAACACGAGGAAACUUGUGCUAAUACCGGAUAAGUCUUUACGGAGAAAGCUUUAUGCACCAUUGGAUGAGCCUGCACUUGAUUAGUUUGUUGGUGGGGUAAUGGCCUACCAAGACUGUGAUCAAUAGCUGAUUUGAGAGGAUGAUCAGCCACAUUGGGACUGAGACACGGCCCAAACUCCUACGGGAGGCAGCAGUGGGGAAUCUUGCACAAUGGAGGAAACUCUGAUGCAGCGAUGCCGCGUGAGUGAAGAAGGCCCUUGGGUUGUAAAGCUCUUUCGUCGGGGAAGAAAAUGACUGUACCCGAAUAAGAAGGUCCGGCUAACUUCGUGCCAGCAGCCGCGGUAAUACGAAGGGACCUAGCGUAGUUCGGAAUUACUGGGCUUAAAGAGUUCGUAGGUGGUUGAAAAAGUUAGUGGUGAAAUCCCAGAGCUUAACUCUGGAACUGCCAUUAAAACUUUUCAGCUAGAGUAUGAUAGAGGAAAGCAGAAUUUCUAGUGUAGAGGUGAAAUUCGUAGAUAUUAGAAAGAAUACCAAUUGCGAAGGCAGCUUUCUGGAUCAUUACUGACACUGAGGAACGAAAGCAUGGGUAGCGAAGAGGAUUAGAUACCCUCGUAGUCCAUGCCGUAAACGAUGUGUGUUAGACGUUGGAAAUUUAUUUUCAGUGUCGCAGCGAAAGCGAUAAACACACCGCCUGGGGAGUACGACCGCAAGGUUAAAACUCAAAUGAAUUGACGGGGACCCGCACAAGUAGUGGAGCAUGUGGUUUAAUUCGAAGAUACGCGCAGAACCUUACCAACACUUGACAUGUUCGUCGCGACUCUAAGAGAUUAGAGUUUUCGGUUCGGCCGGACGAAACACAGGUGCUGCAUGGCUGUCGUCAGCUCGUGUCGUGAGAUGUUGGGUUAAGUCCCGCAACGAGCGCAACCCUCACUUUUAGUUGCCAUCAUUAAGUUGGGCACUCUGAAAGAACUGCCAGUGAUAAGCUGGAGGAAGGUGGGGAUGACGUCAAGUCCUCAUGGCCCUUACGUGUUGGGCUACACACGUGCUACAAUGGUAUCUACAACAGGAAGCAAGACUGCGAAGUUAAGCAAAUCCCUAAAAGAUACCUCAGUUCGGAUUGCACUCUGCAACUCGAGUGCAUGAAGCUGGAAUUACUAGUAAUCGUGGAUCAGCGUGCCACGGUGAAUGCGUUCCCGGGUCUUGUACACACCGCCCGUCACACCAUGGGAGUUGGUUCUACCUUAAGGCAAGGUUUCAAACCCUUGACCACGGUAUAGUCAGCGACUGGGGUGAAGUCGUAACAAGGUAGCCGUA